UGGGUCACUCACUCAGUGGCAGUUUCGGCAGCUGGCGUGGCCUCGGAGCGUGGCGGCUCCAAAGUUGGGACGGCAGCGGCAGAUUUGGCGGGAGUGGAGGUUGGAGACACAUUAUUGAGAGACUGAUCAUAGAGAGAAGGGCAACGUUCACAACAGUUAAAGCUUAAACCAAAUACCACAAACAAUCAGCAAAUCUGAGUGUCCUCCUCAAGCGAGUGACGAAAUACAAUACAAACAGAAAAACACAGAUAAGCAGCUUGAUCAUGCACUCCAUAAGACAAGAGGUCAAGAAACUGAGGGAAAGCAACAAAAAAUCAGAGGUAAUGAAGACAGGAGAUAUUUAUUUGAAGAGACCAGGCAAGGGAAAUAACCAGAAACUUGAGGGGAGAAUCAGAGAGGAAAGCAGGAGUAGCUCAUGGCACAUUUGCGG